rnacentral:lncRNA from 1 species
AUCUGUGACUCAGCUGCUACAGCAUCAGGCACUGAAGUUGGUUCCUCAUCAUCAGUGAGCUGCUCCCACCGCCCCCAGGCCUGGUUGAGGCCUUGGGGACCUGCAGAGGACCCCAUGCUGCCUCUAACCAGGACAUUGAGGCACAGAGAUUAAGAAACUGACUACAAGGCCCGGCACGGUGGCUCAUGCCUGUAAUCCCAACACUUUGGGAGGCUGAGGCAGGUGGAUCACUUGAGGCCAGGAGUUUGAGACAAGACUGGCCAAUAUGGCAAAACCCCAUCUCGACUAAAAAAUACAAAAAUUAGCCAGGCGUGGUGCCGCACGCCUAUAAUCCCAGCUACUUGGGAGGCUGAGGCAAGAGAAUGGCUUGAACCCAGGAGGUGGAGUUUGCAGUGAGUCGAGAUCACGCCACUGCACUCCAGCAAGGGCAACAGAUCGAAACUCUGUCUGAAAAAAUAAAAAUAAAAAAUAAAAAACUGACCACAGUCCCUUGCUGACCAGUGGCAGGGCAGGGCAGGGACUCAAACCGAAGUGUCCUGGCUCUAGAAUCCAUGCCCGUAAGCCCGGCUCUCCAUCUACUCCCAGCCACUCCUCCCCAAUCUCCUUCCCAAACAAGAAACACUGAUACACAGAAUGAGUUAUGAAGAACCUUGUGUUUUGAUCAUCUGGACAACAGAAAGCCCCUGUUUUAAGAGAAACACAGUGUGUUACUGAUGGUGUCAUCAGUGACGUGGCCCUGAUGUGCCGCCAUGCUCCAGCUCAACUACACCGGAGCAGCAACUGUUUUCACCCUUCUGGAUUCAGCUAAGAAUCACCGACCAUCGAGAACCAGCUAACACCGAAUGCAUCAGAAAGAGCCAACUUCCACAUAGAUCCCUUCCUGGGCAUAUGCUUAGGGGCUCUGCCAAAACCUGAACAAGGCACAUGGUAGAGAUGACACAGCUCGGGUGCCUGUGCAGUAACGUGUCCUCACAGGAAGUGGUGAUGCCUUGCUUUCAUUCCCUACUAUAUCUUUGGCUUCACUACAGUCUUUGUGAAGCUUUCUUCACACCAUACACAGGAACCUCUGGAAAUAACUGUGCUAAGCUAAGCCCCUAGCACAGCGCCUAACACAGAGCAGGAAUUCAAAUUUGUGAAGUGAGUGCACAGCUCUCGCUGCCGUUUUAGAACACCUUGGGAACACUACCUUAAUCCCAACCUCAGAAAUCUUUAAGGAAGAUAGCUAUUAACUUCUUUCUCAUUUUCUACUAGAUGACCAAAUUCCAACGAUCACAAUUCUAUAUUGAAAAUUAUUUCACAGUAAAACCAAAUCAACCAAGGCAAGGAAACAAUAACAUCAUAACAUACGUAUGGUAUUUUACUGAUGUAUUCAUUCAUUCCAGGACACAUCUCCCAGCUUCUACUUACAUUUGCUAAACAGUUUGACACAGAAAUUCUUUAGUUCUAGUUCUCUUCAACUGAUAUUUAAUUUGAAAGUGUUCUUUAAGAAUCCAAAUACAUUGGGCCAGGCGCGGUGGCUCGCGCCUGUAAUCCCAGCACUUUGGGAGGCCAAGGCGGGUGGAUCAUCUGAGGUCAGGAUUUCGAGACCAGCCUGGCCAACAUGGCGAAACCCCGUCUCUACUAAAAAUACAAAAAAUUAGCCAGGUGUGGUGGAACACGCCUGUAAUCCCAAAUACUUGGGAGGCUGAGGCAGGAUAAUUGCUUGAACCAGGGAAAUGGAGGUUGCAGUGAGCCGAGAUUGAGCCACUGUACUCCAGUCUGGGCAACAGAGCAACACUCCGUCUUAAAAAAAAAAAAAAAAAAGAAUCUAAAUACAUCAGUUCUCUGAUCUAAGCCAGGUUCUUUCCUCAUCUUUGUUUCCAUUAUAUAAACAAAUGAUCUCUCACAGUAGUUACUGCUAUUUUCCACUCUAGCCAAUGAUAAAACAUGGGGAUGGCAGCGGUGGGUGGGAAUUCCGGCUUUUCUCCACCAUCUUCUCUGCAAUAAACUGAAAGACCUUAUAAAAGAUGGGUGCAGUUGAGGAAAAAGAAUAAAGGUGGUCAUGGGCAAAUGAAAACUGGUUAAUUGUCCGAAAACUAUCAAGAACUGACCUGUGACCCAGACAGAAAGUAACUCUGCAUGUCUCAACAGAGCACAGUAUACACGAGCUUGAAUAACCAGAAAGAUGUUUAGCAACAAAUCCUCCUCACAAUCAUGUGUUGAGUUCCAAAACACUUCAGAAAAUAAUGGACAAUUACUUAUUCACACAUUUUAGACAGCAAAUAAAACUGAAUUGGUUUAGCAAGAAUAAUAAUCUCUCACAUUGGUGUUAAAAUUAUAUAAGAAUGUAUUUUUAUACCUAGAAUCUCAAACUAGUGAGAGUCAUUUCCCUGAACUCUUUGAAGUAAAUACAUAUUCUCCCCUCUUUACAGGUAAGGGAAAGCUCAAACAGGAGAGGAAUUUUUUUUUUUUUUUUUUUUUUAAUACGGAGUCUCGCUCUUGUCGCCCAGGCUGGAGUGCAAUGACGCCAUCUUGGCUCACUGCAACCUCCGCCUGCAGGAUUCAAAUGAUUCUCCUGCCUCAUCCUCCCAAGUAGCUGGGAUUACAGGUGCCUGCCACCACACGCCUGGCUAAUUUUUGUAUUUUUAGUAGAGACAGGGUUUCACCACGUUGGCCAGGCUGGUCUCAAACUCCUGACCUCAAGUGAUCCACUUGCCUCGGCCUCCCAAACUGCUGGGAUUACAGGCGUGAGCCACCGCGCCCGGCAGGAAAUUUAUUUAAAGUUAUGCAUGUAGUGACACAGCACCAACUCUUUUAGAGUCUGGGAUUUACCUUGAUAAGGUAACUGUUGGUACAAACUAUCCAAAACCUGGCAGUAUGCUUGCAGAUGCAUUACUUUUAGUGGUCAAGCUACGCUGUGGCAUGGGGUUUGUGAUGACAGUGAGAUGAGAUGAUGCCCGCAAGAGGCUUAGUGCACUGCUUGUUUACUAUCACUACAAACUGAACCUUUAAAAUAUGACGUAGUAUUUAAUAGCCGUAUUUGGCAAUACAACAUAUAUACACAACAUGUAAACUUUAUCACAUAUACAAGAAAUAACUUUUUAUCACCAAUUUUUGAGAUGCAUAUUUUCCUUUAUUGCUGAAUUAAUGAGGCACCAAUAAUCUCAAAAACACAAGUCAGACUUUAUUCUGAAAAUACCAUAAAGAGACAAAAAGAGUUAGUCAAGUAUUCUUGCCUGCUGGAGACACAGAAUUUCAAUAGCACCUUUUUUAAAAAAAGACAUGAACAUUUAUAAAAUUGCAGAACAUAUCUUACAUAUUCACAUAUAAAAUCAUGAACCAAUAAUAAUCCGGAUGGAAAAACUGAUCUGUUUCAUCAACAUCAAUAAACAUUUUGUUGAGAGUUUGUUCCACAUAUUAUACUUCCCUCAGUAUAUUAGAAGUACUUCAGCUUUCUAUUUGAAGUGGUUUUCCUAAAAAUAACCUUUUCCCCUGCUCAGGAUAACCAGCUAUUAUUAUAGUAUACAUAUUAUAAUAACAAGGUAUAUGUCUUUGACCUCAUAUAUGACUCCCCAGUUGCUACAGGAAUAGAUUUACUUUUCAUACACAAAUUGGAAAAGAUGUCAAAUAUUGAUGAUAGUAUCGAAGAGUUGUAGCUACUCUAAACUGAGUAAAUUAGCGAUUGUACAGACGAGCACUUCAUAAUAGUUGAAGGUUUUAAAUUCAGUUAAUUACAUGAAUAUUUGACAAGUAUGUGAAUGUUGUAAAUAUUUUGACCAAAGUACUAAUUUUGAUUCUAAUGAUUGCAUGUUACAUAGUCUCUAUAUAAUGUCAAUUAUACUAAGUGAUAACGUAAUUUCAAGUUCUUUAAUCAAAAAGUGUGAGUUACUCGUAAUGAAAACUGGCCCAAAAGGAGGGAGAAAAAAUCUUGUUUAUAAAGCAAGCCAUGCAAAACUACAACGACAUUGCAUUGUAGCUUUCCACCAGAUACGGAAUAUCUGCCAAGAAAAUAUUUCACUCAAUCUUCAAUCUAAACACUACUAAAAACAAAUUAAGGUUAAAAUUAUUUUACUAUGCGCUUGCAAUUAUACACACAAAAUACUGCUUUGGUAGACAUUUCUCUCUCUUUUCACAUUUUUUGUGGUACAUAUCUGGGAGUUACUGUGUGUCUAUAAUAAGCAAAUUUUAUAUUUCUAUAUUUCCUUUUCAUUUUCUAAGAGUUGGGGUCUCGUGCUGUUACCUAGGCUGUAGUGCAGUGGUAUGUCCAUGGCUCACUGCAAUCUCAACCUCCUGGGCUGAAGCGAUCCUCCCACCUCACCCUCCCGAGUAGCUGGGACAAACUACUCAGUGUACGCCACCAUGCCUGGCUAAUUUUUUUUAAUUUUUUUGUAGACAGGUUCUCGAUAUGUUGCCCAGGCUGGUCUUGAACUUGGCCUUAUUUCCUUCUAUCUAUGAUCAGUCUAGUUAGAUCACUUGAUUGACACAGACCUAUUCAAAGAAUAUAAUUAUGAACAAAGGAAAAAAUAAAGCUUAUGUAACCCAUAUUAAGCAAAAUUGUUGCCACUCUAAAUUUUAAAAAUCACAUGGAAAUGAAACAUAUGAAAAACUAUCAGUAUGUAUGGUGUAAGAGUUAGCCAGAUCGGCACUUUUAUUCACCAACUUAGUUAAUUUAAGGCAUUUGACAUGUUUCACUGAGAUCACUUAAUGAUUACAGAAUUGCCAAGCAAAUUAACAUCGGCCAUGCAUCUUAUAAAUUGCAGAUGAAUUUAUAUAACCAAACUAAUAUACUGCUUAACAGUUUUGAUUAUUUUAGUGUAUUUUUUUAAAACUUUGCUCAAAGCUUAGGGAAAAAUAUUGUGAAGAAUGCAGGGCCAGUCAUUAAGCCUAUUUUAUGUACUGGGAGACUGUUGGUGAAUUUUAGGGUCAAAAAAUGUUAAACAGCACAGCCAUUAGAGACAGUGAAAGAUUUUAUUUUUUUUUUUACUUUCAUCCAAACACACCCUUUUCUGAAAAACAUAAAAGCA